ACACUGAAGGUCCCCUUCCAAAAAGACACCUUACUGACGUCCUGUGGAGUGGACUCAGUGGAAUCUGCUGUUGGGGAUUCUCUAGGCUGUGGCCCUGCUCCGUGUUUCUGUCCGUCUUUCCAGACCCCAUGCUGGAGGUUGGAACUGCAGAAAGAAAAGAUGGAAAUUCUGGCCCCAAGAAGCUCAGAAUCCAAGGAAGAAGGUAAAUAGAAAACCUGGAACGACAGC
rnacentral:lncRNA from 1 species